ACAAGGAUUCCCCUAGUAACUGCGAGUGAAGCGGGAAAAGCUCAAAUUUAAAAUCUGGCGGCACCUUGCUGUCCGAGUUGUAGUCUGGAGAAGCGUUUUCUGUGCUGGACCGUGUACAAGUCUCUUGGAAUAGAGCGUCAUAGAGGGUGAGAAUCCCGUCUUUGACACGGACUACCAGUGCUUUGUGAUGCGCUCUCAAAGAGUCGAGUUGUUUGGGAAUGCAGCUCAAAAUGGGUGGUAAAUUCCAUCUAAAGCUAAAUAUUGGCGAGAGACCGAUAGCGAACAAGUACCGUGAGGGAAAGAUGAAAAGCACUUUGGAAAGAGAGUUAAACAGUACGUGAAAUUGCUGAAAGGGAAACGCUUGAAGUCAGUCACGUUGGUCAGAACUCAGCCUGGCUCUUUUGCUUGGUGCACUUUCUGAUCAACGGGCCAGCAUCAAUUUUGAUCAUUGGAGAAAUUCUCUGGGAAUGUGGCUCUCUCGAGAGUGUUAUAGCCUGGGGUUGUAUACAGUGAUUGGGAUUGAGGAACUCAGCACGCCUUCAUGGUCGGGGUUCGCCCACGCUCGUGCUUAGGAUGCUGGCGUAAUGGCUUUAAACGACCCGUCUUGAAACACGGACCAAGGAGUCUAACAUGCCUGCGAGUGUUUGGGUGGAAAACCCGAGCGCGCAAUGAAAGUGAAAGUUGGGAUCUCUGUCGUGGAGAGCACCGACGCCCAUACCAGACCUUUUGUGACGGCUAUGCGGUUGAGCAUGUAUGUUGGGACCCGAAAGAUGGUGAACUAUGCCUGAAUAGGGUGAAGCCAGAGGAAACUCUGGUGGAGGCUCGUAGCGAUUCUGACGUGCAAAUCGAUCGUCAAAUUUGGGUAUAGGGGCGAAAGACUAAUCGAACCAUCUAGUAGCUGGUUCCUGCCGAG
rnacentral:rRNA from 1 species